GUAUGAGGGUGACUGUUAUGACAUCAUGAAGAGGUCGAGUAGCUGAAUUCACAAAGUGUCUCCUCCCCCCGUCCAGCCGAUGUGAGUAACACCUUUAAACAUUCACAAGGCUGCAGAGUCAGACGAAUUACCAGGACAUGUACUCCGAGCAUGCACUGACCAACUGGCAACAUAGACUAUUUGCAACAGUCUUGAAGGAGUUCCCACAUAUGCAGAGCACUUGUUGACUGCUUUUCCUUCACUCUGCGGUCAAACUCAUCCCAAACCAUCUAAAUUGGGUUGAGGUCAUGUGAUGGAGGAGGCCAGGUCAUCUGAUGCAGCACUCCAUCAAACCCUUGAGGACCAGGACGACUGAUCCGUGUAAAGGAAAGAAUGAAUGGGGCCAUGUGUCGUGAGAUUUUGAGUGAAAACCUCC